UACGAACCGUCCGAACGUUACUCGGAAUCACUGGGCUUAAAGGGUGCGUAGGCCGCGCGGAGGGUGGGAUGUGAAAUCCCCCGGCUCAACCGGGGAAUAGCGUCCCAAACCGCCGUGCUCGAGGGAGACAGAGGUGAGCGGAACUGAUGGUGGAGCGGUGAAAUGCGUUGAUAUCAUCAGGAACACCAGUGGCGAAAGCGGCUCACUGGGUCUUUCCUAACGCUGAGGCACGAAAGCUAGGGGAGCGAACGGG
rnacentral:rRNA from 1 species